AGCCAGGGAAAAGGAGAGCUGAAGUGUGCAAAUCCUAUAAGGUGUCAAAGGUACAUGGUUCCAAUGGGAAACCCUGGCUGAGAUUCUGAUAUUGUAACUGAUAUAUAACUAAUAUUCUAGAGGUAGAAGAAGAAUAAGAAGAAGAAGAACUUUAUUGAUCCCCAAAGGGAAAUUCAAUUGUCUGUUGUCUCAUGUAAUAUGUCUAUAAAAGUUAUCUAUUAUUUACAUCAGAGUUAUAUAGCCUGAUGGCUGUUGGUACAAAAGAUCUUCUAAAUCUUUCUGUCCUGCAGCGAAAAGAGAGGAGCCGUCGUCCACCACCAUUUGCCCUUUUGUCCAUCAAGGUGUUGUGUAGUGGGUGAUCCAUGUUCUUUAGAAUAGUCUCCACCUUCCUCAGUAUAGAUCUCUCCACCACAUCCUCCACUGAGUCCAGCUUGAGUCCUACCACAGAGCCAGCCUUUUUCACCAGUUUGUUAGGACGCCUUGCAUCUUUGUGUUUGAUGCUUCCUCCCCAGCAGACUCCAGCAUAGAACAGAACACUUGCCACCACAGACUGAUAAAACAUCUGCAGCGUCUUACUACAGAUGUCUAUUGAUCGGAGUCUUCUCAGGCAAAAGAGGCUUUCUGUAGAUGUAGUCUAUAUUCAAUUUAUAUGGGUAUCCAUUAACAUCUUUGAAAAUCAUGAAGUAAGUAAUCAAAAGGAAGUGACUGAUGAUUCACUGGAAGGUAAGAUGGUUCAAUACACGGCACAGCCGCUCAGGGUUUGAAACCUAGCUUAAAUGUUGACGUCUGUCAGCUUGUAUAAAAACACACGUCCUCUCUGACAGUAGGUGACAGCUGAGCAGGCGAUACAGCUGUGGCCUGUUGCUCGAGAGAUGAGACAGAAGAGAGAGCAGGGAGGUGCUGAAGAGAGAGAGAGAAAGGGUACAUUUUAUUUUAUCAUUUCAUUUAUUUAUUUAUCUUUCCCCCUUCAUUCUUCGUGGCAGGGGUCAUGAAGGGGCCCUCUUGAAUCACUUUGACCCAGACACAGGCAAACCUGUCAGCUGGCUUGUCUACACCAUCCACUUCUCCACAUAACCAUUAGGUCAUGACUCAAAAACAGUACAUUUUACACCGUCUGGUAGAUCUUGAAUAGGAGCUGCAGUAAAUAAAUGUUAUUCAAAAUGAGUGAAAUAUAGUUAAGUGUUGUAUCUAUUUUUUGCUAUUAAAAUGGAUAGAGGGUGAUCAGGCUGGGAGAUUGAAAAAAAAAAAAAAGCAGACUCGUCAGUAUCAUGAUGUGCUUGUCUCCUUCUGAGAUCUGUGUGGUGUAAUUUGUUGUUUCUGUGAUGGUUAAAUUGCAAAGCACUCAAAAUAUGAACCAACUGUUUCACAGAAGUAGUUAAGAGUCUAGACUCUAAAAACUGCCAAUCUCAAAAUGAUACGUCUGAGCAUGUCUGACGUAAAACAUGGGAGGCAUUCACAGAGGUCGAAAAGAGGAUGAGACAGUGAAACAAAGGACUCAACGGGGCAACUUUAGAGAACAUCAUCUUUAACUUUCAUUUGAGCAUCUACUUUAUUCAUUUCAACAACCAUUACUUCAUUCUCUUUUCUUCUUACCUCCAUCUUAUCCUUCGACUCUACCCAACAAGGCACACAUAGCUCUGAUGUGAGAGUUAGUUCCCAAAUGAAAACAUGCCAUCCACUCAUAGUUGUGGUUUCUCUGAAGCUGACAGCCACCUCAUUCACUGACUCUGCUCUUUUAAAAGGCUAAAUGGAAAAGAUUCCCCCGAUAACUGUACACAAUUCAUCAUCAUCACCUUCAUUCAACAGCCGUAUAUUAACUGAAAGUGCUUCCAGAGCUUGGAGCCAGAGGUAAGAAAGUAAGAAAGCAUUUAAGACCUCGUUCCCAGCAGUUUAAAAAUACAGGAGGAAAAUGCUAAAACAUUAACACACAAUUGAUGAGGCACUUUGCAUUGAUUACAGAUUUAAUUGAAGGCUUUUAUAUGAUGUACUGUACUAUAUGUAACUUUAUCUGGCUCCAUUCUCUUUACUCACUCUCAUUUUUGCAUAUUUGAAAACUGACAUAUAUUUUAAUAUCGCCUACUCAACGUGAGAGAUAGCUCUGUGUGAGGCAAAACUACAAACUGGUUUUAUGACUUCAUUUGAUGGGUAUCUCACUGGAGUGCACCUUGGCAGUAGUUUCGCUGGAGUUAUGCAGCUCCCAUCUGCUAUAUAAGGCGUAAUGCCCGGCAUGCUGUCCAUUAUCAGGAAUUAAUGGACUGCACAGAGGUCAUUCCUCCUUGAUAAUGGACACACUGUAGGACAUUAUCCCACUUAAACUAUGGUACCAUGCCAAAGACAUUUGUUUUCUGUUACAUUCUUUUGGCGUUUGAAUUACUGUUCCUUGGUGUUACCCUCUUCUUGUUUUCUUCAACGUGUUCAUCAAAGAAUUACCUAGAAUACAAAUCAAACCAUACACAGACUAAUUAAUCUUUUUCUUUUCACCUUAAGCACAAAACAAGCUGAGGCCAUGAAUGCAUCACGUCACUAUGGUUACUCAUUUUAAAUACUGGCUGAUACAGUGUAACCAGAAUGUCAGUUUAUUAGAUUGAAUGUGUAAAAAGGUUUCCCAAGAACUGGAAGUUGGUCAUCCUUAAGAAUUAAUGGACACUGCAUAGCCAGUCAGGUAAUGUAAAGCUGUAUUUCUAGUAAAUCAGCAUUAAAACUAGGAUUGUUAUGUAGCAGGUUAUCAACACAGUAGUCACACACUAGUUUAGAUUGAUAUUGAUCACAAUUAUCAGAUUUAGAUUCUAAAUGUAAAAUCUAUGAGCAUGUGUCAAGAUGUUUGGAUCUAGAUUUUGUACUGCAAGUCUUAUUUCCUCAUUAGUGUUAAUUUGAGAACAGGAAAGCAGGCUGUGUAAGGACUUUAUAAUCGCAAUCACUUUGCUGCCAGAGCAUAUAGAGAGGAAGACGAGUUCAGUAGCAUCACUCCAAAUCAGCUUUCCCCCUUUUUAACAUCAUAACCAUGUAUGAAAGAAAACCGUGGUUUACUGUAAAGUCAAUAUACCUUAUGAUGUGGGUCUCCAAGGAAAUGGUCAGGAACAGUGGGGCUGUCCCAUGGCCAACUCUAGCAAUAGCUAAUGUCCUUGCACAGUCCAUCAGUACCUCACAACUUUAAAUGCUGACAUUACAGGUACCAGGGUAGCGUUAACAAGAGGUACAAGAGAGCUUCAUAGCUGCACAAAAACUGCACUGUGGACUUUAUUAGGAAGACAGUAAGUGUUGUUCUGAGACAGCCCCAAAAACUGACUGCAUCCUAGAUACCAGUGCCGCUUAAAGUAUAUUUUAUGCUGUUUGUAUGGUAUUUAUUUUGUAUAGUAUGAGAGUAUCAGCUUCAAAGAUAUCAAGGCAAUUUACUCAUCAUAGCACACGUUUAAUGCCCCUGCAGCGUUUUUACUCGCUGUAUUGUCAAGUUGUCCCUUGUCCUAAAGUUGACCCAACGGUAGUUUUGCUCUUCUAUAAAAUCUAGACUAGAAAACUUAAAGCAGUGAAAAACACAAACAACCACAUUCUUCAUCUGGAAUUACAGCUCUCCCAAAAAUCCAAUCACAACAUACAUCUGUCAUUGCUCAUAUGAUUUACACAUAUUUGGGUCACCACAAAAUAGAGAUCACAGAGAUCCACCCUGGAGCUAUUUCAGAUAUAGUUCAUCUCACAAUCGCUGACAGCUUCAAUAUUUCAAACGUUAACAGCCAUCUCUAUCACCAACACACACAUAAAAUCACUCAUACUAUUCUAAGACCUUCUUUUCUCUGUCAGGCAUCAUUCAAGUAUAAGAGGUUAUUAGUCAGCACCGCAUAGAAUAAGAAUAUAUAUAAAUGACAGAAGAGAGGUCAAAUGGAGUUAAGACCGUUCUGAUAUUAAACUAAAUGUUUGGGUGGUAAAAGUAGACAGAUAAAGAGAAUGGAGACGUAUGGAGGGCAAAAUAAACAGACCUUUGGGGACACUGACUGCAUUUGUGUGAACAUGUAGGUGUGUAUGUGUGUCUGGCAGCAAAAAAAUAAAAAUAAAAACAAACAGUACAAGUGUGUUUGCCUUCAAGUCAAAAGAAGAUGAGUUUAUAGAUUUUUCCAGACUGUGCCAUCUGUCUCAGAAGAAAUAUAUACAGGAGUACAUGUGCAAGCAUGCAUGCCAGCAAACACGCAUACACAGAACAAGAACCAUACAAAGAACAACAUCAUAAAUUGCAGAAAGUUGAAACUCCUCAAAAUAAUGUAUGGUAGAGAUUCAGUAGUCUCAGGAGUUGUUUCUUCAGAGAAACAAACACUUGACUACUUAAGUUUGGAAACUGUGUUAGUUUAUUAUAGGUCACAAUAACUUUGGUAUGCCUCAUUUUGGUGGGUUUUGGUUGAGCUCAAAUGGCUCAGUAUUCUCUGUGUUAGCUGGACAGGUCAGGGAAGUGCAGCGUUCUAAGAUGCAGCUGCAGACUCUGUUUAAUCAGACUUGCAUUACUGCCUCCUCAGUAUCACACAGGACAUUCAUCUGCGUUCACAGGACUGCGUUGUCCUGGAUUUAUUUUAUAUUGUUACAUUUAAGAUUAAAAACUUAAAAACCUUCUAUAAUUCUUUAGUAACCUUGGAGUUAACUGUUACAUUUACAUUUAGAAAAAAAACUAAUCAGUAUUCCCCAUUUUGAGACCUUUUUAUCGCCAAAAACUAGUACAGGUAAUAACGAUUUUUUUUCUGUCAUACAGUUUGAAUCAGCAUUCAGGUGAUAUUUUUGACGCUGUCAUAUAUCAUCAGAGCUUUUGAUUUAGAUAUGUUUUACGUCUCAAAGUGGGGGACCCAGCUGUGGUCUGUGUAGCACUGAAUCAUUGUUAUUUCUCAGGCUGCUUUGACAGCCGAUAGUCUGUAUCUGAGCUCUAGUACUUCUCUCUGAGAUGUUCUGACCUUUAGGUGGCCACUUAAAACUUUUAGACAGGGAACUUAUUGACUGUCAGCAAUGAUUUAUGUUAGUUAGAAGGAAGAGGGAGGAGCUGAAGGAAGCUAAUCAAGAAGAAGUAAACAUUUGCUGUCAAUACUCAGCAGAAAAAGACAUGAACACUUUCAAAAACUAGUCUAACCAGCAACAAAACCCCUGAAAUUAGCCACCAAAAUAGAUGAUUGACUGGCCAAAACAAAAAUAAGUAAAUAAAUCGUCAUUCUUUAUCUUUUCCCUUUUUCCAUCCGUAUUGCAGCAUCACUGACAAUAUUUUGAAUACUGAGUUAACACUAAGCUACAGUAUUUCACUGUAUUUUAUGUACAGUCUCACGUUUUUCUUUUGUCACUGAUUGUGGAUCUUGAAGUUAUUACUCUUUAGGGUCUAAUGAUAACCAAAGUAAAUCAUAAUAGCUCAAUGUCUCUUCAGCAUAGUGAGCUCUCUUCUUCUGGGGUUGGGUGCCAUUUCAGUUUUAUCAAUUCUGGUUCAGAUUCCAGCUCUGCUUAUUGAUUCUGGUUUUUAUCGACCCCUAACUCCAACUCCAAGAACUUUGGAGAGUAGAAAAUACCAAAUAUUUCACAAACAUAUGCCCCUUUAUCUUUAAGUCAAAUCCAACAUAGACAGAGCAUCUCCAGAACUACAAUACAAGCUGAAUUUUGUCAGUUAUUGGGAUUUGAAAUUGCACACUAAAGGUUGUCUAAAAUCAACUUGUAUUGCAAAAAAUGUUUUGCACAUGUGCAAUAAAUCUCUUCAGAGCAUGCAAACAUUUUGAAACACAAGAUGAAGCCCUGAUUGAACAAUGUGCUACUAUUUAAUCAAUCAGAUCAGUAUUGUUGUUUAUGAGGAACCGUACUUAGAAGGGGUAUUUUCUGGUGACUCACUGACCUGAAGACUGGAGGCUUGCAACUCAAUUUACACUUGGGGUUCUGUCACUCAGAAACACUGAGUUAGAUGGAGCCUGGCUUGCCUUGAGCUCAGCUAAUAAAUUGUUGUCAAUUUAGUGUACUGCCAAUGUUAAUUGAAGGAAAACAAAAAUUUAAUUUGCCAUGUUUCACACAGAUACAAGAAGUCGAGCAACAGAAAAUUAUUGGAACUUAAUGCAGAAUAAAGUUAUGUUGAAUUCAAACAUGUAUUGAAUGGUGUAGUUUGACAUGCCUAAAAACCAUAAACCUUAAACUCUGAUCGGGCAGUAUGACUGGAAACAUCUGUGAACAUGAAACUUAUUUUGGUAUGACCACAUUUGGUGAAUGACUUAAAUAGUGUGCUAGUUUACAGUGUGGCUUUAUCAGUUAUCAACACCACAGUGGUGAGCAUGAACUGAAGUAAGUUAGAGAGCAAAGCACAAAUAAAAACAUCAGCAACACUUAUUCACACACUCACAAGCCAGUUUAUCAGCUCCACUGGUUAUACCUGGUAACUGCUGCUUUAAGACCUAAUUUGUCCUGGUACGGAUUCACCAAGGCGUCUGAAACCUUCUAAAUUGUAUAUUUUGAACAAAUGGUGUAUCGUGUCUCCACUCUUAGCUCACAGCUGUAACGUCUCUCCUUCCGUCUGUUGCUUUCUCUUGCUGUUUCUCUCUUGUCUGACUUGCUUGAAAUCUCUCCCAAUCUCUCAGUCUCUUUGUUUCACUUUGACUAUCACUCUUUUUUUCUCUUUCUCCUCUUUCGCUCCCUUUCCCCCCAUUGAGACUGCUCUCCUCCUUCCUGUCCUCUCUGUUCUUCUCUGUGAUUGUUCUACGCUUGUCUGAACCUUCUCUGAAACUCCCUGCAGGAUGAGUGGUGGGCGCAAACACACACACACACACACACUCGCUCUCUCUCUCUCUCUCUCUCACACACUGACACACACACAUACACACACAAACAGUUUGCACUCACAUUUCCUACGUUUCCCACACAGCAACCAAACAUGAACACAGACACCCCUGCCCUCAAAUGCACUCCCAAAAUUAAACACGUUUUCAGGAAGCAGCAAGCAGGCACCGACCUGCACACACACACACACACACACACACACACACACACACACACACACACACACACACACACACACACACACACACACACACACACACACACACACACACACACAGUCGUUGUGGUGACAUUUGAUAUAAAUGGCCCAAUGGAAUUUCCUCUGCUGGUUAAAAAGGAUUGAAAUGCCACUGCAGGCAUGAUCACAAAUCAAUAGCCCAAUCUUUAACCUGCCAUUUUGUUGUGUGUGUGAUUGUGUAAGGGUGUGUGCCUGUUUUUGCAUGGGUGUGUUUUCUUUUUUCCAGGGCCACAACUAGGGAAAAUUUUAUCUGUCUUUGCAAUUCCAUGUUGUUUUUCAUUCAUUUGAUUGUGCUGCCUUAAAUGUCUCUUAUCUGUGUUGGUAUACAGAAUAUACUUUAUUGAUGUUUGGAAAAACUUCAGCAGAAAAAAAAGAUAGACCUUGGAUGUAAUACAUCUGAAGGAUUUCCUGUUUCUAAAACUGUUGUGAUCUGAAGUGAUUUUUGUAUGGACACUGUGCAGCAAUAACUAUUCAUACAAGAACAUAAUCCAUCUCAAGAGCUGACCCCCAAAGUCGAUAAUUCAGAUACAGUAGUGUUGAAUCUCUGCACUUUUGUUUUUCAGCUGCAUUACAAUACAGAAUGAUGCAAGAGAAAUGUCACGGCAUGCUGCUAACUUUGCAACCUAUUUCAGAUGUAGUCUUCAAGUAUUUUUUACUUCAAACUAAUUAAUUUAGCAGAUCAUUAACUGGACAGCUACCGUGUUGACAUUGCAGAGCUUAAUAAGAGUAAUUUAUGUAACGUGCCUCGAUAAAAGGCAAAAAUUACCUGUUCAACAGGCCCAAAUCCUGGCGGAGAUUUCUCCACUGCCUGAAGGAUGACCCGAUGUUUAUUCAAGUUAGAUUCCUUUUUUGGUCACAUUUCCUCUAUGUCUCUGCCAUUUCUUCUGCCGGCUUGCGUUUUUUUUUUAGCACUUUUGGCGUUGGGGCAAGCAGAAGUGUUUUUUGUUUUUGUUUUGCUUGUUUUUGUGGAGGGCUAGCUAAACUGCUGCUUCUGCAAGCGUUACAUGAUGUUAAUGUCAUCUGAUGCAGAACUUUGUUGUAACUAAACUGAACUGAAAAAAAAAAUAUAUGGCACCAAAAUAUGAUUCAACUGGCAAAUUAUCUGGGUCUACAAAACCCAAAUAUUAUUUCAAGUAAAAGUUUAGGUUCCCAGGAGCUCUGCAAGAGCUCUCAAGAGUUGUUUCUUCUGUAGCGCAUUUUAGGGGGUUAUCACCUCCUAGGGUAAAGAAGGGGAGGCUAAAGAUGAGUGAAUUUGAAGAUUUACAACAGAUCAGUAAUGAUAUGGUAUAAAUGCAAAGAGGUGCAUGGAUUAAGGUGUAAAUCUGAUUCAUUUAAGAUAAAUCCAUGCUGCUUUACUGGCUUUAAAAUAGCUUUUUCAACUUAUGAUCCUUUUAGUCUCUACACAGUGGUAUUUGAUCUAGGCUUUUCCUCUGAUCAUUUCUAUACUUUUACAUUCUGCUCAAAUUUCCUGCUGGCUGAGUUCAAUGUGUCACUGAACAACAAUGAACAAUGAACACUCUAAUUUCCCCUGAGAGAGCUCUGUGUGCCCAAAUAAUGGGACAGUCUGUGUUUUGAGGCUUACGUGAAAGCAUGAAUAAUUCUGGCAGUGAAUCAUACUUGACGUCUAUGGUGUUGAAAAAAGUAUGAGAGGUGAUACAUGCGAACAGAAUACGUUUAUUAGUUACGCCACCACUGCAGGGGGCCUUCACCACCAGUUCUGAAACACUUAAUGAAUGUGUCUCUCAUCCAAAUACUCCAUCCACUGUUCUAAAAGCUGAUAUCACCCGAAGGCAGAACCAAAAACGAGUGCCAGCCACAUUUUUUAAACUCUUCUUGCAAUCUUAGCUCAACUGACUUCAGACCAGAUGUCCAGAACAGUGCCUGCUGCUUGUCAAUCAGCAUUUAAAAAUGACUGGCAGGUCCUGUCAGCUAAAGCUAUUAUGAACCAAGUUCAGCUCUGCUCACAAACUUUACACUUCACUUUCACCUACAUGUGACCUUAAAGAGGUCAAAAAAACAGUGUGCCACUCCUGAGGCUGAUCCGUAACUUCUAUAAUUUUCAUCAACUAAACAAGAAUGAGCUGAUUUGAUUUAACCAUUUAGUAAAUCUCAAUAUUGUAAAACUACAUAGGUUUUGACUCCAGGAGGCAGAAUUGUUAUGCACUGGGAUUACUGUAUCUGGAACCUCAAAGAGUAAAUUAGUCUUAAAAGGAUCUUUUUUUGCUAUUUUAACCCCAGGUUACAUCACUGAUGAUGUGUCUAAGCUGUACCUACAGGUGUAUGUAAAAACUAGUUCAUUCUUUCCAAGCCAGUGACGCCCGGGAACAGACCGGUUGAAGACCGCGAAGAGUAUGGUGACAGCUGGAGAGACAGUAACCGGGGCAGGGAGGUUUAGCACCCUAAACUACAGCUCCUGUGAAGGAGAACCCUAAUAAGCUACAGAGAGCCUUGAUGAGUCAAACCCCCAGGGGUGCCUGAGGGGGGGGGGAAUCCAUCCUGAACGGACGGAUACACAGAUAAUGACCCAAGCGAAUGGAAUAACAAGUGCAAACUGUACAUGUGGCAAAUUCUGCAAAAACCAGCAUGGCCUGAAGAUCAACCAGGCCAAAAUGAAAUGCCUAAAGGUGAAGCUUGUGGAGCACAGGUGUAGCACCUGGUAAGACGCAGGAGGAGCCAGGCCUGGAAUCACCCCACAGUGCCCAUACCCUCCACGCCCCCCUGCUUCAACUAAAGUAAGGCGUUCAGAACAUCACCUGGUUAAGUGGCCAUCUGCCAAAAAGGAAAGGGAGUGGCUCCAGUUUGAUGACAACAUGGACCAAAUGCUUGAAGCAACAGCAAAGGUGGGUGUUAACCAGAAGCUGCAGCUGGUGUCUGCCAUGAUCGUCAGCAUGGCAGUGGAGAGGUUUGGCAUAAAGGAGCAGCAAGCACCCAGGGGUGGAGGGGGGCCAAAUCGACAGGAGGAAAAGAUCAGUCAGCUGCGGCAGGAACUCAGACUGCUCAGGCGUCAGUUCAAGCAAGCAAAGGAGGAGGAGGAGAAGGCCGGAAGGCCAGUCUGGCUGAGCACCAUAACAUCCUCCGUCAAGCAGAAUGGCACAGAAGGAGGGGCAGAGAGAGAGCCAGGGGUUACCCAGCUUAUCCGGGAGGCACGGGAAGGCAAACAAAAGAGACCUGGGAGUCCUGUGGCUGGACCAUGCCAAUGUCUACAAGUCAAUCCCACACAAGUUGGUAGAAAUCUCCCUUAACUGACACCAUGUCCAGCUUGACAGUCACCUCGGGAUCAGCAACAUCAGAAUCCUGGCUGAAAAAGGGCAUUAUCACCGGGUGUACCAUCUCAGUGAUUCUGUUUGCCCUAGCCAUGAACAUGCUAGUGAAGUCAGCUGAGGUGGAGUGCAGAGGCCCAUUGACCAAGUCAGCUGUGGGGCAGCCCUCUAUCAGAGCAUUCAUGGAUGACCUGACAGUAACCACAGCAUUGGUUCCUGGGUGCAGAUAAAUCCUUUACGGCCUUGAGCAUGCCAUCAGCUUGGCUCGGAUGGUCUUUAAACCAUGAAAGUCUCGGUCUCUGGUUCUGAAGAUGGAGAAAAUCACAGACAAAUUCCGCUUCUUCAUAGAAGAAGUCCUGAGUCCAUCUAUCAGAGAGAAG